CAGCGGAAAAACGUCGAGCCGUAAAGCGAAGGCCCAACCGGAAGUCUGUCACGGCUCCCGGCUUGACGUCCUCAUUAGCCGGCGGCCCAGAACUGAAACGUGGCGGCGCGCAGUGCGAGGGACGCUGGGGCGGGGAGCACGAGUCGGCCCCGCGGUGUCCCACAAUGCUUGGCGGCUGCCGCGGCCCCUUUGCCUCCCACAAUGCCCCGGGCUCCCGCUGCCCCUCCCCGUCCGGUUCUCGGUCGGGUCGAGCCUUCCCUGGAGGUGGCCGCGCUCCUCUCCUGUGCCGGUUACCAGCGGGGUGAGGGGUGCCGCCAGGUGACCUGCGCGGUCCGGGCUGCUAGGACUUUGGGAUGGCCGCCAGGGCUCAAACCCUGGUCGCACAGAUCUUAAGCCUCAGUAGUCAACGGAGGUUCCUGGUUGCUCAUUGAAAGUAAAAUAAAAUAGGUCCGGCGGCGGUGUCGCACGCAUUUUAUCGCAGCUCUCACGAGGCAGAGGCUGGCCUGGUCCGCAGAGCGAGAUCCAGGACAGCCAGGGCUACACGGAGAAACCCUGUCUCUAUAAACAAAAAAAUCCUUUCGUUUUCCCACCAUUCAUGAUUAGCCUGUCCGUAUUCUAAUUUGAGCCGCACCUUGGGUUCCGUCUCCCGUCAGAGCUUCAUCUAUUCGUACUCCUGGUGGGUUGCUCCUCAGCAUGGGCAAACGUCUUCCCACACAGCUAGCACCUUCCUAGGGAAGCAUAACAUAGACACAUGGAGCUUUAGGUGCAGAGUGGUGCUUAAUAAGGGUUUGCCGACCAAGCAAAGGAAUGAAAGACCUGGAGUCUGUAGAAGAGGAGGCAUUCUUCCCACAUCGCUGAGAGCUUCCCCUCACCUCAGGGUCCUUCUCGUUUUACGGGUUCAAGAAAUUAGAGUUCGGUUUUGGAAUAGCAGAAUGACAGACUUCUGAGGCUCCAUGGUGGAGAGUGGGAGGUACAUUUUCCAGCUCUGAAGUUGCCGGUACCUACAGGAGUGAUCUGAUCACUCGAAGCUGCCAUGUUAUGGGGAAGCCCAGGCUCCCCACAUGGACUCACCACAUAAGCAGACCUGAGAGCAUCAAUUUCUUGAACUUUCUGCGUUGAAGGAGACUGAGACACAGCACUGCAGAGGAUGCCCCUGAGGAACCCUGUAUUUCAUGAGAGGCAUUUGUCGAUCAACUACUGUAUUCUGGGUGCUGUACUGAAUGAGACAAGCUGCCUCCUGCCCUGCUGAUGAAGUGCUCUGCGCUCACUGUGCUGGUCCAGGAUCCCAGGUGAUGUUAACUGGGAUGCUGUCAUGGAGGGAGAGAGGAGAGGCACCCGGGAGCAGAGGCAGAGGCGGGAACACUGCUGGGACUCUGUGAGCAGAGCAAACCCUUCAUCGAGCAGCCUGAGAGCCUUCGGCAUGGCUGCCCCAGACCUCAAGGACCCUCAUCUCCUCUCUGGGAAAUCCCUUUUGAUAACUAACAAUGUCUGUGUUGGUUUCUGGGGAUGCUUGAGAAAUUUCCUUGGGGCUUCAAAAAUGCUUUCUCUUGAUAAUAUGUCUCAGGGGGAUUUAAGAUCACAGCGGUGACACCACAGUUUAACUUUAAUUUGACUUGGGAAGGGAAGGAAAAAUUCUAUCCCUUUUUUUGUCUCUCUGGUACAAGUGCACUGUCACUGCCUGCUGGUUUUGUAAUUAUUUGAGAAACGUUUCCUGGAUUCCUGUUCUGUGCCAUGUCCAGUGUUGGAAGAGGCCGUUCCUUCUCUGCAGAACUGGGGACAAGGACAUCAUCUCUCCUCUCAGCAUGAUAAACGGGGUGGCUUCCUGGAGGAGGCAAGGCUUCAGGGUCUGGGGGGACGAGUAGGCCAGUCAAGAGGGAGCAGCGGUUUCCUACCCUCUGUGUAACCGGGUUCCGAAUACACCUGACCUUUGAGUCUCAGAAGGGAUAAUUUGAGGGAGCCUUGGGCUGGGGGAUUACAACACCAGGGCACUCACGGAGGAAGUACUCUGCGGUGUCUGCUUCGUAGUCUGCAUCCUCUGGAAAGUGGUCGAUUUGCUUGCACAGGCCUUUGAAGUUCCCUGCAAGGUAAGGCAGAAGGAGCCAGUGAGUGCCUGGUUUGCACGACUCAGGACCCAGCUGCCCUGUCUGGACACCACGGUCUCCCGAGGGUCACUUGCUGGCACAUUUGUCUGGUCAACCCAUGCGCACUCUGUGGGCCUGAGCACAGAGCUGAGGCUCAGACAUCAAAACCCGCCUUCUGUCCCCACCUCCUGUCCCCUGUCCUCACUGCCUUCUGAGGAUUAGCUAGAGCCAGGGUUUGAUUCUGGGUGGAGAACUGUGCUGAGAGGGGUGGGGGAUGGGCUCAACAGCCCAGCAGGGUGAUGGGGGUGCUGCUGCAUGGCAGAGAGUCACCCAGUUCUUUGCAAGCUGCAGAGUCUUUCCCAAGAAGACCCACCCCAGACUGAUGCAACAACAGACAAGUCCUUAGAAGAGGCCACAAGAUGGAUCCCAUCCGCACUGGCAGGAUAUUCCCCUUCCCAGCCCCACAGCCCCAGCAGUUCUGAGCUUGCAGGGCUGGCCUGAUAUGGGAUGCCCAUAGGUAUGCUGCAAAUAUGUGUUGUUUUCAUUGGUUGAUGAACAAAGCUGUUUUGACCAAUGGCCAGGCAAAAUGUAGCUAGGUGGGAAAUCCAGACAGAAUUACGGAGAGAAAAAAGGUGGAGUCAGGGAGACGCCAUGUAGCCACUGAAGAAGUAUCAUGCUGGAGUAUUAUCCGUAAGCCACAGCCUCAUGGCAGUACACAGAGUAGUACAAUGGGUUAAUUUAUAAGACAGAGCUGUCCAGUAAUAUGUCUGAGUCACUGGCCCAACAACUGUAAUUGAUAUUAAGCCUCGGAGUGUUAUUUUGUAAGCGGCAGAGGGAACUGGCGGGAGGGACAGGAAACUUCCAAGUGCACUGACACUCUACCACGCUCAUUUAUGGACUCUGUGUAGGUUAGACCGGCUCUACAGUCAUCAUGACCCUCCUGGCUUAGCCUUCCAAAUGCUGGGCCACAGGCCUGAGCCACCACGCUAGCUUUGAGAUUGUGAACUACAGCUCACUAGCGGCCGGAGGCCCAUGUGAGCCACCGGUGUUGUCACCCCUUUCACAGGCAGGGAAACUGAAGCUGAAGUACCUCAGUACUCAAACAGCUGGCUGGAGCGGAGUGCACCAUGGACUCGGACUUUGGCCUUUGUCUCCAGACUUUUGCUUGGUGGGAACAGCACAGGACCCCCGUAGACUGUCAGAGUGUUCACCCAGAGAGAGAGUGUGAGUCGUGGGAGGGAGGGGCCUCCAGACAGACUGACAGGUAGGAUUCAGUGUGCCGUCAGCAGAGUGUCAGCUUUGUGCAAUUCCCUACACUGUGUCCCCAGCAGCAGUGGAGACAAGGCUGGUAGCAGUCCCUGCAGGAAGGGUGGCCCAGACUCAGCCUACCUGGUGCAGCUCAGCUUUCUUCCCUUGACUCAGUUUCUGUGUCCUGAGUAGUUGGUGGAGUAUUUAGGUUGGUGACUGAUGUGGGAGCAAUGAUCUGGAACCACUGCCUUUCUGUGACAAUUGCUAGAAUCACCCAAUAAAUAUAGUCCCCAGCCACUCAGCAAUUUAAAACUUUA